ACGAUCUCCGUCUGCUCUUUAUGUAAAGAAAAAAAACCAAGUCAAUCCACAACUACUUCCCGAACUGAAGUCAGAAGAAUCCCCAUUUUCCUCACCUCAAACCCUAACACUAGGCAGUUGAUCUUCUCUCUCAAUCUCUCAUAAUUCUUUCAUUCCAUUCAUGUUAUGAAACCAUUGAAUCAAAUAUCUAUUCAUGUUAAGAUCAAUCAAAGUUAUCUUUUCUAAACCCAUAUCUUAUAAACUAAAUCCAUCCUCAGAAACCAAACCCAAUCUUCAGUACUCCAGAUUUCGUAUUGAACCCUAGAAUAUAGAUUUUUUCGACAUAAUCUCUAGCAAACUAAUCUCUUUAAUCUCUGCAUGACAUCUUGCUGACAAGUCCAAGAAGAUGAGUUUAUAAGACCCUAGAUUCCUUGUUUAUGCUGAUGAUAUAUUGAGAAGAUUUGUCCAAAGCAGAGAAGCAGGAAGAAUUGGAUUUUCGGGGUUCUCAAGCAGAAUGGCUUGUGAGUACACUUAAAAGUUUGAGGCAGCUGACCUGAAAUUUGUGGUGGGGAUGAAAGUGGAAAGUACUGGAGAGCUUCCAAGUCACCAUUUUUAGACGGAAGUGCAAUUCCAUCCCAUGUUCAAAUUAAGACCUGGACGGCCUUCUGCUUUAAAUCUAUCGCUGAAGCAUGAAUUUUUUUCCAGUCUUAUAUUGCUAGCGAGCGGGGCAGUUGCAAGCGUACAUUGACAAGCAGCAACAUGGAAACUAGGACAGAAGUUGAUUUUCUUCGGUCGUCGUCUGAUACUUUUCAUGGUACGCUAGUUAGAGUAUGGGUCAAUCUUGAUGUGCUUACAUAUGGUAUUCUGCUUAUGUUAUUAUAAAUACUGAUUAGUGGACAUCUUGUUACUUGUUCAUCAUGCAAGUAUAAAUUUGGUACUUGCAGUUUCAAAUCUAUACGUUUUGGAUUUAGGAAAUAUCAUUAGUGCACUAUAGACAACACUAAAGGCACCCAUGAAACUGGUGGAUCCAGAAAGUAAAAUUCUGAGUAAUACAGACUAUACAGUUUGUUUUACUUUUCUCUUUUGCAUGGGCAAGCGGCAUCCUAGCGACAGUUUGGAGGAGCUCUUGUAGUGUGAGUGAGGACAUGCAUCUGCAGUAAACAAGACAUGGAGUAGUCACGCCCUUUCUUCUGUCCGAUGCGGAUGCGUUUACAUGUUUUGACACUUACUGAUUAUAUUGAUGUCUUUGUUAUUAACUCUAGUAGAAUUCAUAUAUCGUUGAUUUGAUUCUACGUAUGGAUUUCUGUUUUGUAGUUUGAUUCUUCACAAAACUAAACUUUAUGCUGCUGCGCUUGCUCCAUUCAAGGCUUACGAAGGUGAUGGUUUUCCCUAUGUAAUUGAUUUGUCAUUGUUGGCUCAUGUCAAGGUUUAUAAUCUUAAUUCAAAUAAAAUACUAUUAGUACCUUAUACUUUAUUCAGCAUCAAUAGUCUGUUCAGUUUGAACUAACACAUGAACAUUAGUCUCUGGUUAACCCUAGUAUUAUUCCUCAACCGAGAACUUCUCUCUGUAACCAGAAUCCACCUCAUUUAUUUUAAUGCUUAUAUAGAUUCUAAUCGUACUAUUAGAAUCGGUACAACUCUUCUUGAUAAUGCAGGAAACUUCUGGGGUGCCAAAACAAUCCCAAGCACAACAUGAGAUGCUCAACAUGCUGAAGCCAUGGCUCUUCUUGCAGCCAUACUAUGGGCUAGCGAGCUGGAACUACAGUUUACUUCGUACGGGACUGGAGCUAUUACCAACUCUAUCAAUGCUUCUAAGUCUAGUGUUUAGCGGACUACUAUCGUUCUGAAGAUGUAUGCUAUGCUAUUAGUGUUCAAAUCACCAUAGUUAACCAUUGUUAUAGUGGUUUCUGUCAUGUUUUCUGGAUUUUUGGUGUAGUUAAUGUUGACAGUAUUGAAUAUUCGAAGUAAAAUAGUCUUCAGGUUUCAGUGCA